AGUACUUUCAGCAGUGAGGAAGGUGGUGUACUUAAUACGUGCAUCAUUUGACGUUAGCUGCAGAAGAAGCACCGGCUAACUCCGUGCCAGCAGCCGCGGUAAUACGGAGGGUGCGAGCGUUAAUCGGAAUUACUGGGCGUAAAGCGCAUGCAGGUGGUUUGUUAAGUCAGAUGUGAAAGCCCGGGGCUCAACCUCGGAAUUGCAUUUGAAACUGACAGACUAGAGUACUGUAGAGGGGGGUAGAAUUUCAGGUGUAGCGGUGAAAUGCGUAGAGAUCUGAAGGAAUACCGGUGGCGAAGGCGGCCCCCUGGACAGAUACUGACACUCAGAUGCGAAAGCGUGGGGAGCAAACAGGAUUAGAUACCCUGGUAGUCCACGCCGUAAACGAUGUCUACUUGGAGGUUGUGGCCUUGAGCCGUGGCUUUCGGAGCUAACGCGUUAAGUAGACCGCCUGGGGAGUACGGUCGCAAGAUUAAAACUCAAAUGAAUUGACGGGGGCCCGCACAAGCGGUGGAGCAUGUGGUUUAAUUCGAUGCAACGCGAAGAACCUUACCUACUCUUGACAUCCAUAGAACUUUCCA
rnacentral:rRNA from 1 species